rnacentral:rRNA from 1 species
AUUGAACGCUGGCGGAAUGCUUUACACAUGCAAGUCGAACGGCAGCACGGACUUCGGUCUGGUGGCGAGUGGCGAACGGGUGAGUAAUAUAUCGGAACGUGCCCAGUCGUGGGGGAUAACGUAGUGAAAAUUACGCUAAUACCGCAUACGAUCUAUGGAUGAAAGCGGGGGAUCGCAAGACCUCGCGCGAUUGGAGCGGCCGAUAUCAGAUUAGGUAGUUGGUGAGGUAAAGGCUCACCAAGCCGACGAUCUGUAGCUGGUCUGAGAGGACGACCAGCCACACUGGAACUGAGACACAGUCCAGACUCGUACGGGAGGCAGCAGUGGGGAAUUUUGGACAAUGGACGCAAGUCUGAUCCAGCCAUUCCGCGUGCAGGACGAAGGCCUUCGGGUUGUAAACUGCUUUUGUACAGAACGAAAAGGUCUCUAUUAAUACUAGGGGCUCAUGACGGUACUGUAAGAAUAAGCACCGGCUAACUACGUGCCAGCCGCCGCGGUAA